rnacentral:rRNA from 1 species
GUGGUUUAAUUCGAUGCAACGCGAAGAACCUUACCUGGUCUUGACAUCCCGGAGACCCUUAGGAAACUAGGGGGUGCUUCCAUCUGGAAGAAUCUGGAGACAGGUGCUGCAUGGCUGUCGUCAGCUCGUGUCGUGAGAUGUUGGGUUAAGUCCCGCAACGAGCGCAACCCUUGCCUUUAGUUGCCAGCAGUUCGGCUGGGCACUCUAAAGGGACUGCCGGUGUUAAACCGGAGGAAGGUGGGGAUGACGUCAAGUCCUCAUGGCCUUUAUGACCAGGGCUACACACGUACUACAAUGGCCGAUACAAAGGGCAGCGACACUGCGAGGUGAAGCCAAUCCCGUAAAAUCGGUCUCAGUCCGGAUUGGAGUCUGCAACUCGACUCCAUGAAGUUGGAAUCGCUAGUAAUCGUGGAUCAGCAUGCCACGGUGAAUACGUUCCCGGGCCUU